GCACAGAUGGCAAGGGAUGCUGGACUGGAGGCAAGAUAUCUGAUUACUUAAUUCAAAUUCCCUGGGCCUUCUUUUGAAAUUUAAUGGACAACAGCCAGAGCUGGUGGAAAGUUUAAAGUACAGAAACCAAUGCAAGCUGAUAAAUCCACAGCCUCUUCAUUCUAAAUACCGAGAAACGAAAUUUACACUGUCUGGGAGAGCAGAGAACCAGUGGCAG
rnacentral:lncRNA from 1 species